rnacentral:tRNA from 1 species
UCCCAGGUGGCUCAGUGGUAAAGAAUCUGCCUGCAAUGCAUGAGACCUAGGUUAGAUCCCUAAGUUGGGAA